rnacentral:rRNA from 2 species
UGGUCAAGUUAUUAAGGGUGCAGGGCGGAUGCCUUGGCACUAGGAGCCGAUGAAGGACGUGAUAAGCUGCGAUAAGCUUCGGGGAGUUGCACGUAAACUUUGAUCCGAAGAUUUCCGAAUGAGGAAACUCACUUAGAGUAAUGUCUAAGUAUCAUUAAGUGAAUACAUAGCUUAAUGAGGGGAACUCAGGGAACUGAAACAUCUAAGUACCUGAAGGAAGAGAAAGAAAUUCGAUUCCGUAAGUAGCGGCGAGCGAACGCGGAUUAGCCCAAACCAAUAAAGUUUUCUUUAUUGGGGUUGCGGACAUAUCAUAACGAAGAGGUAUCGUAAUUGAAGAGGUUUGGAAAGACCCACCACAGAAGGUAAUAGUCCUGUAUGUUAAACGAGAAGACUUUAGAUAUGAUCCAGAGUACCACGGGACACGUGAAACCCUGUGGGAAGCAGGAGGGACCACCCUCCAAGGCUAAAUACUACCUAGUGACCGAUAGCGUAUAGUACCGUGAGGGAAAGGUGAAAAGAACCCCGGGAGGGGAGUGAAAUAGAACCUGAAACCCUGCACUUACAAGCUGUGGAAGCACAUUUCUUGUGUGACCGCGUACUUUUUGUAGAACGGGCCAACGAGUUACGUUAAGUAGCAAGGUUAAGCACUUAAGGUGUGGAGCCGUAGCGAAAGCGAGUUUUAACUGAGCGUUCAGUUACUUGACGUAGACCCGAAACCGGGCGACCUACCCAUGAGCAGGAUGAAGCGAAAGUAAAAUUUCGUGGAGGUCCGAACCCACGAGCGUUGAAAAGCUCGGGGAUGACUUGUGGGUAGCGGUGAAAUUCCAAUCGAGCCCGGAGAUAGCUGGUUCUCCCCGAAAUAGCUUUAGGGCUAGCCUCAAGGUGAGAGAUACGGAGGUAGAGCACUGAAUGUCCUAGGGGGUAUUGCACCUACCGAAGACUAUCAAACUCCGAAUGCCGUCAUCUUAUACUUGGGAGUCAGACUGUGGGUGAUAAGAUUCAUAGUCGAAAGGGCAACAGCCCAGAUCGUCAGCUAAGGUCCCUAAAUGUAAGUUAAGUGGUAAAGGAUGUGGGAUUGCACAGACAACCAGGAUGUUGGCUUAGAAGCAGCCACUCAUUCAAAGAGUGCGUAAUAGCUCACUGGUCGAGUGAUCCUGCGCCGAAGAUUUCCGGGGCUAAAACUUACUACCGAAGCUACGGCAUCAGUAAUGAUGGGUAGGGGAGCUUCCCAUACGGGUUGAAGCAUGACCGUAAGGACAUGUGGACAGUAUGGGAGUGAGAAUGUUGGCAUGAGUAGCGAGAUGUGGGUGGGAAUCCCACAGGCCGUAAACCCAAGGUUUCCAGGGGAAGGUUCGUCCGCCCUGGGUUAGUCGGGACCUAAGCUGAGGCCGAAAGGCGUAGGUGAUGGACAACAGGUUGAUAUUCCUGUACUACCGAUAACCAUUUGAGAGAAGGGAUGACACAGUAGGAUAAGCUAAGCACACUGUUGGUUAUGUGUGCCCAAGCAUUGAGGCAGUCAAAGUAGGCAAAUCCGCUUUGAUAAUGCUGGGAUGUGAUGGGGAGCGAAAUUUAGUAGCGAAGUAGCUGAUUUCACACUGUCAAGAAAAGUCUCUAUCGAGGUUAAAGGUACCCGUACCGCAAACCGACACAGGUGGGUGAGGAGAGUAUCCUAAGGCCAGCGAGAGAACUGUUGUUAAGGAACUCGGCAAAAUGACCCCGUAACUUAGGGAUAAGGGGUGCCACCAUCAGGUGGCCGCAGAGAAUAGGCCCAAGCGACUGUUUACCAAAAACAUAGGUUUCUGCUAAGUCGCAAGACGAUGUAUAGGAGCUGACGCCUGCCCGGUGCUGGAAGGUUAAGGGGAUCUGUUAGAGCAAUCGAAGCAGUGAACUUAAGCCCCAGUAAACGGCGGCCGUAACUAUAACGGUCCUAAGGUAGCGAAAUUCCUUGUCGGGUAAGUUCCGACCCGCACGAAAGGCGUAACGAUUUGGGCACUGUCUCAACAACAGACUCGGUGAAAUUGUAAUUCCGGUGAAGAUGCCGGAUACCUGCGACAGGACGGAAAGACCCCAUGGAGCUUUACUGUAGCUUGACAUUGGGUCUUGGUACUACAUGUACAGGAUAGGUGGGAGGCUUUGAAACCAGGACGCCAGUUUUGGCGGAGCCAUCCUUGGGAUACCACCCUUGUAGUACUGGGACUCUAACCAUAGGCCAUGAAUCUGGUCUUGGGACACUGUCAGGUGGGCAGUUUGACUGGGGCGGUCGCCUCCCAAAAGGUAACGGAGGCGCUCAAAGGUUCUCUCAGUACGGUCGGAAAUCGUACGUAGAGUGUAAAGGCAAAAGAGAGCUUGAUUGCAAGACAUACAGGUCGAGCAAGGAUGAAAAUCGGACUUAGUGAUCCGGUGGUUCUGCGUGGAAGGGCCAUCGCUCAACGGAUAAAAGCUACCCUGGGGAUAACAGGCUUAUCUCCCCCAAGAGUCCACAUCGACGGGGAGGUUUGGCACCUCGAUGUCGGCUCAUCACAUCCUGGGGCUGUAGUAGGUCCCAAGGGUUGGGCUGUUCGCCCAUUAAAGUGGUACGCGAGCUGGGUUCAGAACGUCGUGAGACAGUUCGGUCCCUAUCCGUCGCAGGCGUAGGAAAUUUGAGAAGACCUGUCCUUAGUACGAGAGGACCGGGAUGGACGUACCUCUGGUGUACCAGUUGUUCUGCCAAGGGCAUGGCUGGGUAGCUAUGUACGGAAUGGAUAAGCGCUGAAAGCAUCUAAGCGCGAAGCCAACUUCAAGAUAAGAUUUCCCACCGCAAGGGUAAGACCCCAGAAAGACUAUCUGGUUGAUAGGUCGAAGGUGUAAGUGCAGCAAUGUAUUUAGCUUAUCGAUACUAAUAGGUCGAGGACUUGACCAA